rnacentral:rRNA from 1 species
AAGGCUUCAGUACGACCCAGUCAGAACCAUAAGUCUCAAAGCCCCGACGAGUAGGGUGGCGUGCCGGUGCGCGUUGAAGGCCAAGACGUGAGUCAGGCUGGAGCCGCCGGUAGUGCAGAUCUUGGUGGUAGUAGCAAGUACUCUGGUGAACCAACCUGGAGCUGUGAGGUCUGGAUUAGGGUUCCAUGUCAACAGUGAUUGAACAUGGGUGAGUCGAACCUAAGCCAACUGUGAAAGCAGUGACAUCCCGACAAAGGGGCACUAUAUGUGUGCUGUACUUACACCCCCAAAGCAAAACUCUCGUAUUGCUCUCUCUCUCUGGGCAAACACGGUGAUCACUACGGAGUGUGAGUGUCUGCACCAAUCUGAUUACGCAAAUUUUACGAAAUAUGAGCACACACAAUGAUCACUUUCAAAUAAAUAAGUGAGUGUGACAAGCUCUUGAGGCUGAUGGUUACGGAAUAUGGCAGCACACACACAAUGAUCCAUACAAAUACGUAUGAGUGUGUAUGCAUUGGUCUGGUUACGCUCAUAAGCGUUGUGGAUAAACGAUAAAGCAUAAAACGAGAGAGAGAGAAACGGAGUGGGUGAGCGUGAGUGUUGCUCCUGCAUGAACACCCUGCGUCUGGUUCUAUGUCUGGCGAAAGGGAAUGGGGACUUUGUUCCUUGACCGGUCCUGGCACCCUCGAUUGGCUUUGCCAAUUAAUGGUCCAUGCAAAUGGAACCAGGCCACAGCCGUCGGCAGUCGCCCGAGGAAGAGUUUUCUUUUCUGCUUAACGCACGAGGUCAUCCCUGGAAACAGUUCGGCUGGCGAAAGGGUGCCCCGCUGCGGCAGAGCGCCACGACUGUCGUGCGCGUCUCGGUGUUCCUGCUGAUCCGUGAAGACGUGGUCGAGGGGAUUGCUCUUGUAUCAACGAAACGCCCGACAAGUUCGGGACGGACCGUACCCUAUAUCCGCAUCUGGUCUCCAAGGUUCUUAGCCUCUGCAGAGUCAGACACAUGUAGGUAAGGGAAGUCGGCAAACUCGAUCCGUAACUUCGGGAAAAGGAUUGGCUCUGAGGGCCGAGCUGGGCCGGGCCUUGCCUGCAAAGCAGUACCUAUAGUGACCGGAGUUUCAGGAGUGUGAGGGGCUCUAGUAGCUGCUUGUGCGUGUGUGCGUUCGCGCGUGCACGCGUGUGGGCACGAACGAGUCCACCGCU